rnacentral:lncRNA from 10 species
CUCCAGGCUCGGCUUCCCAAACUAAGGGGAUCACAGGUGUGAGCCACUGCACCUAGCCCAGUCUGUUUCCAGAAGUAGCAGGACUGCCUGCUGGCUCAGGUUGAGGGUGGGCCAAUACUUAGGAGCCUUGGGGGAAGCAGAGAAUAUGAACCAAAGAUUUUGAUUUUGUUCCCAUUUUGUCCAGUGGGGACAAAAGAGUUCAGCUAAUCAUUUAUGAGGCAAAGAAUGGGAAUUUGGAGAGUCUGUCUGACUUGGUCAAGGGUAAACAAGGAGCAUUUGGGAGUCUUAUCCAAGUCAUAUAGGGAAGGGUGGUCUUCACAGUGAGCUGUUUCCUGGAGGGCAGAGUGCGGGGAUUUCUCAGCCUUUGCCGUUUUCCAGAAACACAGGGCUCUCACAAAACUUAACACUGUCAUUUGUUAUAUACUUGGUAUAUUCAUGAUAUAUUAUGUCCAUGUUUGUUA